CCUACGGGAGGCAGCAGUGAGGAAUAUUGGUCAAUGGGCGUAAGCCUGAACCAGCCAAGCCGCGUGAGGGAUGAAGGUUCUAUGGAUCGUAAACCUCUUUUGUAAGGGAAUAAAGUCCGGGACGUGUCCCGUUUUGAAUGUACCUUAUGAAUAAGGAUCGGCUAACUCCGUGCCAGCAGCCGCGGUAAUACGGAGGAUCCGAGCGUUAUCCGGAUUUAUUGGGUUUAAAGGGUGCGUAGGCGGUCUUUUAAGUCAGCGGUGAAAGUCUGUGGCUCAACCCCGGACGUGCCGUUGAGACUGGGAGGCUUGAGUAGGUUUGAGGUAGGCGGAAUGCGUGGUGUAGCGGUGAAAUGCUUAGAUAUCACGCAGAACCCCGAUUGCGAAGGCAGCCUGCCAAGCCAUGACUGACGCUGAUGCACGAAAGCGUGGGUAUCAAACAGGAUUAGAUACCCUAGUAGUC
rnacentral:rRNA from 1 species